GGCCUGGCGCAGGUCGUGGAAGGAGCGGCGCUGCUCCAGCUCGCGGAUCCUCUCCUCCUUCAGCAGCAGCAGCUUAGCAAAGUCGCCCUCCAGCUCGCUCAUGGUGCCGGGCUGCUCAUGUGUGUGGUAUAGCAGCCUAGCUGGUUGUACCGGAACGGCCUGGUCACGAGCGCUGCUACUUGGAUGCCCUCGGACACCAGAAUCACAACAAGAUACCGAGCUUCAGAGGCAGGGCUGGAAUUGGUGUGCCCUGUUUUGCUCGCCAGCCAAAAGACGACCAACGUGAAGGUGUUAAGUGCAAGAUGCUACUGAUGACUUGAGCUGCCUGCUGACCACCUCCAAUGGUGCCGCAACCUCAACCAAGCAGCUGCCCAUUUUAAGGUAAAGCAUCUUGCCCCUGAAGCAGAGAAGAGCAAGCAGAGGAAGGAAAAAGAGAGAAAUCCUGGCCAACAGCCUACCCUCCUUUGCAGAAAGGCCUGCAACUUCUGCAGACAGGUCUGUGGCUCAAGAAUUGGAUUCUUAAGGCACUUCAAGACCCAUCAAUAGUAGAAAUCAUCCUCAAAUCAAGGGAUGGCUGAUGAGACCGUGUUCCAUCCUUUUCACUCACGCCAGCUGAUACAAAGGAGUGCUGAGAACUGUUGUGACAGUUUCCAGUGCCCUUUAAACAUUAUUGAUAGUAGAUCGGGGUGGGCAAAAUGCAGCCCACAAGGCCAUUCUAUCUGGCCUGCAAGGCCUCUAAAAAAAUUUAGAAAAUUAAUAUUUAUUCGCCCCUGGCUGCCUAUCAUGCAGCACUAGAUGGCUUGCCAAAACUCAGUAAGCGGCCCUCUGCCCAAAAUAACUGCCUGCCACUGUAGUAGAUACUGUUUGCCACUUGAAAAAAAUAGAGGAUGCCUCAAAUACAGCACCAAAAAGGAUAAGCAUGGUUUCACCUUUCAGAAAUACACACUUAAAUGAAAUUGCUUAAAAAUUCAUCAAGCACUGACAGGGCUCCAGUGAUGUAAUUGUAUGGAAGAGGUGGGGAGUAGAUAGAUUUAUCUAUGUUCUCAGCUGAAGUAUCUAUGAAACAAUACAUUUUGCCAACUCUUAUUCUGAAAGUGUCUCUUGAUGAUUUAUCAGUUUACUACUGAAAUUUACAAACAACAUUACUCCUCCUUCCCCCACACACUUGUCCCGUCUAAACGGGGUCACUGCUGUGGAUCCUGGCAGUCUGCCGGCUUCGAUCACAUGCAUCUAUGAAUAACAUUACUAUUGAAUCAAAUUACACCUUACAUCCCCACCUAAAAUUGGAGUAUCUAUAUUGUAAUACAAGUUGUUGUUGAAUAAUUUCUACUUAAUAAAGCUACU